GACGUAGGGCGCGAGCGUUGUCCGGAUUUAUUGGGCGUAAAGAGCUCGUAGGCGGCUUGUUGCGUCAGCUGUGAAGACUCGAGGCUCAACCUCGAGACGUCGGCGGAAACCAUCUGGCUAGAGUCCGGAAGAGGAGAGUGGAAUUCCUGGUGUAGCGGUGAAAUGCGCAGAUAUCAGGAAGAACACCCGUGGCGAAGGCGGCUCUCUGGGACGGUACUGACGCUGAGACGCGAAAGCGUGGGGAGCGAACAGG
rnacentral:rRNA from 1 species